GCUUGUCUCAAAGAUUAAGCCAUGCAUGUCUAAGUGUAAAUAAGUCUAUACUGUGAAACUGCGAAUGGCUCAUUAAAUCAGUUAUCGUUUAUUUGAUGAUCUCUUACUACUUGGAUAACCGUAGUAAUUCUAGAGCUAAUACAUGCACAAAAUCCCGACUUACGAAGGGAUGUAUUUAUUAGAUACAAACCAACAUCGUGGUGAUUCAUAAUAACUUUGCGAAUCGUAUGCCUCACGGCGACGGAUCAUUCAAGUUUCUGCCCUAUCAACUUUCGAUGGUACGGUAUUGGCCUACCAUGGUGACCACGGGUAACGGGGGAUUAGGGUUCGAUUCCGGAGAGGGCGCCUGAGAAAUGGCGACCACUUCUAAGGAAGGCAGCAGG
rnacentral:rRNA from 1 species